rnacentral:rRNA from 1 species
AUACGGAGGAUCCGAGCGUUAUCCGGAUUUAUUGGGUUUAAAGGGUGCGCAGGCGGCCAUUUAAGUCAGCGGUUAAAUCGUGGGGCUCAACCCCAUUCUGCCGUUGAUACUGGGUGGCUUGAUUGCGGUCGAGGUUGGCGGAAUUCGUUGUGUAGCGGUGAAAUGCAUAGAUAUGACGAAGAACACCGAUUGCGUAGGCAGCUGACCAGACCGCAAAUGACGCUCAUGCACGAAAGUGCGGGGGUCGAACAGGAUUAGAUACCCUGGUAGUCCGCACAGUAAACGAUGAAUACUUGUUUUCGGCGAUAUAAUGUCGGAGGCAAAGCGAAAGCGAUAAGUAUUCCACCUGGGGAGUACGCCGGCAACGGUGAAACUCAAAGGAAUUGACGGGG